UUUAGAAAUGUUUAUUUUACAAGUAAAAAGAGAAAAGUUAUGAACUACAUAGUUUCAUUAUAUCAAAAAUUUUUAUGUACUUUGAAUCUUUUACUAUUUCCUCUAUUUGAGUUUUUAACUCGCAAAACUUUAAUCCCUAUAGUUGUAGUAACAUUGAACCACAAGAUGCAUUUGAAGUUUUCUGGCAGCAUUUUU